rnacentral:tRNA from 4 species
GGUUCCUUAGCUCAGUUGGGAGAGCACUACCUCGACAAGGUAGGGGUCGCUGGUUCGAGCCCAGUAGGGACCAUCA